rnacentral:rRNA from 1 species
AGCGAACGCUGGCGGCAGGCCUAACACAUGCAAGUCGAACGGAUCCUUCGGGAUUAGUGGCGGACGGGUGAGUAACACGUGGGAACGUGCCUUUUGGUUCGGAACAACGCAGAGAAAUUUGCGCUAAUACCGAAUGUGCCCUUCGGGGGAAAGAUUUAUCGCCAUUAGAGCGGCCCGCGUCUGAUUAGCUAGUUGGUGAGGUAAAGGCUCACCAAGGCUACGAUCAGUAGCUGGUCUGAGAGGAUGAUCAGCCACAUUGGGACUGAGACACGGCCCAAACUCCUACGGGAGGCAGCAGUGGGGAAUCUUGCGCAAUGGGCGAAAGCCUGACGCAGCCAUGCCGCGUGAAUGAUGAAGGUCUUAGGAUUGUAAAAUUCUUUCACCGGGACGAUAAUGACGGUACCGGAGAAGAAGCCCCGGCUAACUUCGUGCCAGCAGCCGCGGUAAU